GAGCCAACACUUGCACCACCUCCUCCUGGAAGCUUAGAACCUUUCUCCAAACUAGGAUUAUUCCCUCCUAAGACCUCUCACAUCUUUUAGCUUGUGCCUUUUUUGCAGGUGCUUUGAUUCCACUUGUACUUCAACCAUCUGUGAGCUACUUCUAUUCUCUUUAGGAGACUGGCAACUUCCUAAAGGCAGAGGGGAGGAAACAGUGGAAACUCAGAGAUGCAGACAUUUGCCUAAGGAUAUACAGAAGAUAAGGAGCAGAGCUGACAUCAGAACUCAAGCUUGCAAAUGUGUAUGCGGGCCACCAUGCCACAUCUGCCACCUCUCUCACAGCACUGCUGGGGGAACAGGAGAAGCAUUGGAGGUGGCAGGCUUUGCCUUACUACACAUGGCAUAUGCAUUUUAAAUAAGGACUUUGAUCUGGAAGCAGGAGAGCAUAUUUAUUGCCUCAACUCAGCUUGAUUUGGGCUCUUCUGUCCCACUAAUGACACCAACCCUCACCGGCCUGAAGACCUUGCCUGAAAGAGAAAGAACAGUGGCGUGAAGUCAGAAGAGGUGCGUUUACCUGCCAGCUUUGCCUCUGUCUGUGUUCUCUCCCUGAGCCUCAGGAAUCGCACUUCAGUAAUGGUUUUGCUAUGAGAAUUUGGAAGCAGCAUGUGUAAAACCCCUAGCUCAGAUUGGGUACUGGAUAGACAUCAGCAGUGAAGAUUCACUGAGUUUGCCCCAGGGCAGGCAGUGGAACGGGUACAUUAAUGCAUAUCCCAAAUCCUCACAGCCACCCAGAGGUAGAUCCUGUUACUGUCAUCACGGCUACCUGAUCAGAAAACUGAAGUUCCAAACACAAGAACUGCAUUGCGAGUGGAUUUUCAACCCAGAAAUGCACUUUGAAGAGACAUGCGUUCGUAAGAGGUGGCUCCUGAGAAUGUGACAGAAAUCGCUGUGCCACCUGGCUUUCUUCUUUGUGAGUCUAUAUCUAGGAGUGGACUAGACUGAUGCUCUGUGGUAUUAUUCUAACCAACAGCAGGCCAGGCAUGUUGGCUCAUGCCUGUAAUCCCAGCACUUUGGGAGGCUGAGGCGGGUGGAUCACGAGGUCAGGAGAUCAAGACCAUCCUGGCUAACACAGUGAAAUCCUGUCUCUACUAAAAAUACAAAAAAUUAGCUGGGCGUGGUGGCGGGUGCCUGUGGUCCCAGCUACUCGGGAGGCUGAGGCAGGAGAAUGGCAUGAACCCGGGAGGCGGAGCUUGCAGUGAGCGGAGAUUGCGCCACUGCACUCCAGCCUGGGCAACAGAGCGAGACUCCGUCUCAAAAAAAAAAAAAAAACAAAAAAAAAAAAACAAAAAAACCAAACCAACAGCAUUUACUGAAUACCACUGUAAGUUUGGCUCGAUGGAGCCAGGGACUGGGGAGUUGAGGAAAACCUGGUACUGCAGAAAAGAGCUCACAUCCCAGUUGGGGAGGCAGGAAGCUCUGGCCUGAAUAAACCAGGGAUUGAAGAGACAAGCACAGCCUGUGAGUAUCCCCAGGGAGUUAUUCCUCCAGACUGUGGGGAUCUGGGGAUACUUUCUGGAGGAGGUGGCGUGUUCAGAGUCCCCCAAACAUGAGUGAGCCUGCUACUGACAGAGAUAGGGAGAAAGGCAUCCCAGGUAGAGGGAACAACAAAGGAAUGGCUGUGCUAUGCAAUUUGUGAAACAGUCAUGGUGAGCAGCGGCUCUCAAACUCGAGUUAGCAUUGGAAUCGCCUGGUGGGUGCAUUAAAACACAGACUACUGCACCCCGCGCCAGCACCAGAGUUCCCAACUUGGGCAGUCUGGAGAGCAGCCUAUGAGUUUGCAUUCUAACAAGUCCCCAGGUGCUGUUGCUGCUGUUGGUCCACACGGGAAGAAGACAUUGUAGAGGAAGCAGAUAGGUUGGAUGGAGCCAAAGCAUGGAGGAAUGUGAGCACCCAUCUGGUGCAUCACUCACUGGCUAUAGCUAUCAAUGUGUUCAUUCAGUCCUUUACUGAGCAAGCAGCACCCCUGAGCCCUACUGUGUGCUAGUACAGUGAUGGACUCUAGGUAUACAGCGAUGAAUACAACAGUCUGGGUUUUGCCAUAUCUUUACCCUGCUGAGGCUCUCAGAGGAGGAUGGAUGACAUUCCACGUGACGACACAGGCUGAUGACCCUCUGGGCAUCCAGGGACAGAAGGCAGGGGCUCUGGAGGUGAAAGUUGCCUUCAUUCUCAUGGCCCUUUAACAAAAGACCUUGUCUUACCCAUGUUAAAUUCAGUUUGGUUUAAAUGUUUCUUCAUACAUAGUGAACUAUCACCUAACUGGAUGUGUAAACAGGCUAUAACCAACUCUAGUACCAAUCUCUGGGUUUCAGCCAAUCACAGCCAGCCAACUCUUCAAACCAUGUUCAAAGAAGGCAAACGCCAAGCUAGAACCCAUCCAGCUGUUUCUGGUCCUUACUUCUGUUUUCCAUAUGUCACUCUCUUUUUUCUGCCCAUAAAUCAUCCUCGACCACG